GAUGAACGCUGGCGGCGUGCCUAAUACAUGCAAGUCGAGCGAAUGGAUUAAGAGCUUGCUCUUAUGAAGUUAGCGGCGGACGGGUGAGUAACACGUGGGUAACCUGCCCAUAAGACUGGGAUAACUCCGGGAAACCGGGGCUAAUACCGGAUAACAUUUUGAACCGCAUGGUUCGAAAUUGAAAGGCGGCUUCGGCUGUCACUUAUGGAUGGACCCGCGUCGCAUUAGCUAGUUGGUGAGGUAACGGCUCACCAAGGCAACGAUGCGUAGCCGACCUGAGAGGGGGAUCGGCCACCCGGGGACUGAGACACGGCCCAGACUCCGACGGGAGGCAGCAGUAGGGAAUCUUCCGCAAUGGACGAAAGUCUGACGGAGCAACGCCGCGUGAGUGAUGAAGGCUUUCGGGUCGUAAAACUCUGUUGUUAGGGAAGAACAAGUGCUAGUUGAAUAAGCUGGCACCUUGACGGUACCUAACCAGAAAGCCACGGCUAACUACGUGCCAGCCGCCGCCGUAA
rnacentral:rRNA from 1 species